AGGUGGGGAUGAGACCCCUGCGUUCCUGCUGCAGACACGGGCCUCCCCUGUGACCCACGCAGGCCUUCAGAGGCCACACACACUCAGAACUCUCCCUUUCCAAGGUGUAGCUCGGCAUCUUUUAUUUUUCCAGGUAGCCCUGGGAUCAGACUGACAUUGGGCAAUGAGAAAGGGGGGUUUCCAGUUGCACAGGCUGGAACGGCUGAGUGGCAGGAAGCGCAUUUGGUGCUAAAAAUCCCCGUCCACAGUGGGCUGGUGUGGAGUGGGUGCCAAGCAGGGCCGGGCCACAGGGAAGCUGAGUAAGGGCCACUCCUGGGCGGGGUCAGCCCAGACCUGCCAGGAAGGGAAACUGGCCUCAGCCAGCCCUGUGGUCCCGUGAUGGCCAAACAGUGGACUAAACCUAAACACAGACAUGAGCGCCUAUCCCUGGGAGCCCGGUGGGUGCCUUGCGGACUGGAAGAGGCAGCAUCUCUGCCCUUCUGCCCCAAGAGCAUUUGUUGUGUGUGUGUCAGGACGCACGUGAGGACAUCGUCCCCUGGGGACGUGUGUGGCUUGUGUUUCAGGUGGGCAAGAGGAGACAACACCAGCAGAUGUGCCCGAAGCCACAUAAGACCAGGCUGGGGCAUGGACACCUUUAUUCCAGGGCUUUGGCCAACGGGAGGUUUCCUUUCUGAGACUUUAGAAGAACAACAGCAAGGAAGACGGGUGGGUACAGUUCACACACAUUUACACACAGCAUCAGAGGGGUGUGUCUUCGGGGUGUCGAAUGACACACAGAGGAAGAGAGACAUGAGGAGACAGACAAGGUGCCGUGUCCAUGAGGAACACGGCGAAUUGGAGCCACAGAGACCUGCAGGUGGGGAGGAGGUGAUGCGGGUGGGAGGACCCUCCCCGAGCUCUGGCUGGGAGAGCCGGGGGCGGCCGUCUCUGGGUGAAGUGUUAUAG
rnacentral:lncRNA from 1 species